GACGAACGCUGGCGGCGUGCCUAAUACAUGCAAGUCGAGCGGACCUCUUCGGAGGUCAGCGGCGGACGGGUGAGUAACACGUGGGCAACCUGCCUGUAAGACUGGGAUAACUCCGGGAAACCGGAGCUAAUACCGGAUAACUUUUCGAACCGCAUGGUUCGGAGAUAAAAGACGGUUAUGCUGUCACUUACAGAUGGGCCCGCGGCGCAUUAGCUAGUUGGUGAGGUAAUGGCUCACCAAGGCGACGAUGCGUAGCCGACCUGAGAGGGUGAUCGGCCACACUGGGACUGAGACACGGCCCAGACUCCUACGGGAGGCAGCAGUAGGGAAUCUUCCGCAAUGGACGAAAGUCUGACGGAGCAACGCCGCGUGAGUGAUGAAGGUUUUCGGAUCGUAAAGCUCUGUUGUUAGGGAAGAACAAGUGCGGGAGUCACUGCCCGCACCUUGACGGUACCUAACCAGAAAGCCACGGCUAACUACGUGCCAGCCGCCGCCGUAACAC
rnacentral:rRNA from 1 species